UACAGAGGAGCCAAGCGUUGUCCGGAUUGACUGGGCGUAAAGCGCACGCAGGUGGUCGUGCAAGUGUCGUGUGAAAGCAGCUCGCUCAACGAGCUGAUGCCAUGGCAGACUGCAUAACUCGAGCCCGUGAGAGGUCGGUGGAAUUGCCGGUGUAGUGGUGACAUACGUAGAUAUCGGCAGGAACACCCAAGGGGAAGCCAGCCGACUGGCACGGUGCUGACACUGAGGUGCGAGAGCGUGGGGAGCAAACGGG
rnacentral:rRNA from 1 species